CUUUGCUUGGAUUUGCUCUAUUAGGACUUUUGCUUGGCCCAGGCUAUAAAUUAUUCAUCAUGCACAGGCUUCAGGGACAAUUGUCUUCCUUCCUCUUCCUACUUGUGGAAUAUUUUGACAUUUUCCCCGGCGUCUGUUGCAAUUCAGUCCUAUCUUUAAAUAAAUCUCUGGCUUUCCCAUGGGGAGGGAUCCAGGAGCUCUUACCUGGGAUGCAUCUUUCCAGUUGACUGAGUUUUCUUCAUCUGUGUCUUGAGCUAUGGAAGGGUUUGGGGAGGAUUUUUUAUUGUUUUAGGCAAAGAAGAGCCACGCUGGAUCAGAGUUCCAGGAGUUUGCACCCACCAAGUCUUUUGGCCAAAGACUUUCAGUUUUCAGGUCAAAGAGAAAAGUCAUGAUUUUCUGAAGGAGGUGGGGAGGAAAUCCCCCUGUUCAGUGUAAUAGGCAGUGACUGGGGGAGGAUUUUUUCAGCCAUGAGCAAAAGCAGUUCACAGAUUUGGGAAAAGGGAGUUUUUCUUCUCCUUCUCAGCAUUGUGGUUUUGGUGUUUAUGUGAAUUUCUGAUUAUUGUAGGAGGAGGAGGUGGCACUUUUCUCUCAGCCCAGGCUUCGGUGCUUCCCAGGCACCUGGAGGGAUGUUUCAAGGCUCAUUUGGAGUACAGAGGGGAGGUAAGUGUCACUCUUAAAAACCACCAUCUCAUCCAGGAGACCUUGGGGAAGCUGACCCAGCUGCCAGGGGAGGAACCACUGGUCCCCCUUCCCCUUCUCUUUCCAGGCCAGGCAUCCUGCAGAGAACCAGAGCAUCAACAGCAAAAGUCAGUUUGUGUCGGACUGUGAUUUCAUCUUUCAAAAAGCCAGAUCAUCCUUAAAUACCUCCAAAGCUGGAACACAGAGGACGUCCUGGGGAAUGAGAUGCUGUAGCAACUUGCCAGCCAAAGGAUGGAUCUAUGCAGAUGGGCUCUCACUGUGCUUUAAACGUGAGUUAGACCAGCCUCAGCAGAAUCACAUCUACAUACCCCAGCUGUGGAGCUGCCCAUCCUACCAAAUCCGUAGGAGAAAUGAAGAUAUAAGUGGCUUUUCAGCAGGAGCUCUCCACAGGGAAAGACUUCACCCCAAGCAUUGCUCCUUGAGCGGGUGAUCAUCUCUGCUGUAACUCCAUGGGCUCCCAAGGAAUAAAUCACACCAGACAGGCUCA
rnacentral:lncRNA from 1 species